GCCAAUGAUGCCAAUUUGAGUUUUGCUGAAGUUGCAAAAUUUGCUAGUGUUGAAACUCAUGAACUAGGACGGUCUGAGGC